rnacentral:rRNA from 1 species
UACAGAGGUCCCGAGCGUUGUUCGGAUUCCCUGGGCGUAAAGGGUGCGCAGGUGGGUUUGCAAGUUUGAUGUGAAAGCCCCGGGCUUAACCCGGGAAUGGCAUUGAAUACUGCAGAUCUGGAGGAUUGGAGGGGGGACUGGAAUUCUUGGUGUAGCAGUGAAAUGCGUAGAUAUGCGGAGGAACACCGAUGGCGAAGGCAAUCCCCUGGGCCUGCACUGACGCUCAUGCACGAAAGCGUGGGGAGCAAACAGG